UACGAAGGGGGCUAGCGUUGUUCGGAAUUACUGGGCGUAAAGCGCACGUAGGCGGCCUUGUAAGUUGGGGGUGAAAUCCCGGGGCUCAACCUCGGAAUUGCCUUCAAGACUGCAGGGCUCGAGUUCGGGAGAGGUGAGUGGAAUUCCCAGUGUAGAGGUGAAAUUCGUAGAGAUUGGGAAGAACACCAGUGGCGAAGGCGGCUCACUGGCCCGUAACUGACGCUGAGGUGCGAAAGCGUGGGGAGCAAACAGG
rnacentral:rRNA from 1 species